AGGACGAACGCUGGCGGCGUGCUUAACACAUGCAAGUCGAGCGGAAAGGCCCUUCGGGGUACUCGAGCGGCGAACGGGUGAGUAACACGUGAGUAAUCUGCCCCUAGCUCUGGGAUAGCUCCGGGAAACCGGGAUUAAUACUGGAUACGACCACCUUAGACAUCUUUUGUGGUGGAAAGAAUUUCGGCUAGGGAUGAGCUCGCGGCCUAUCAGCUUGUUGGUGGGGUAACGGCCUACCAAGGCGACGACGGGUAGCCGGCCUGAGAGGGCGACCGGCCACACUGGGACUGAGACACGGCCCAGACUCCUACGGGAGGCAGCAGUGGGGAAUAUUGCGCAAUGGGCGAAAGCCUGACGCAGCGACGCCGCGUGGGGGAUGAAGGCCUUCGGGUUGUAAACCCUUUCAGCAGGGACGAAGCGAAAGUGACGGUACCUGCAGAAGAAGCGCCGGCUAACUAACGUGCCAGCAGCCGC
rnacentral:rRNA from 1 species